rnacentral:piRNA from 1 species
AGAGAACCCUGACUAAUA